CAGCAGCCGCGGUAAUACCAGCCCCGCGAGUGGUCGGGACGGUUAUUGGGCCUAAAGCGCCCGUAGCCGGCCCGGCAAGUCCCUCCUUAAAGCCUCGGGCCCAACCCGAGGACGGGGGGGAUACUGCCGGGCUAGGGGGCGGGAGAGGCCGGCGGUACUCCCGGGGUAGGGGCGAAAUCCGUUAAUCCCGGGAGGACCACCAGUGGCGAAGGCGGCCGGCGGGAACGCGCCCGACGGUGAGGGGCGAAAGCCGGGGGAGCGAACCGGAUUAGAUACCCGGGUAGUCCCGGCUGUAAACGAUGCGGGCUAGCUGUGGGGCGGGCUUAGAGCCCGCCCAGUGGCGCAGGGAAGCCGUUAAGUCCGCCGCCUGGGGAGUACGGCCGCAAGGCUGAAACUUAAAGGAAUUGGCGGG
rnacentral:rRNA from 1 species